rnacentral:tRNA from 1 species
GGGGGUGUAGCUCAGUGGUAGAGCACUUGCCUAGCCAUGAGGCCAUGGGUCCAAUCUCCAUCACUGCCA